GACGAACGCUGGCGGCGUGCUUAACACAUGCAAGUCGAACGGAAAGGCCCUGCUUUUGUGGGGUGCUCGAGUGGCGAACGGGUGAGUAACACGUGAGUAACCUGCCCUUGACUUUGGGAUAACUUCAGGAAACUGGGGCUAAUACCGGAUAGGAGCUCCUGCUGCAUGGUGGGGGUUGGAAAGUUUCGGCGGUUGGGGAUGGACUCGCGGCUUAUCAGCUUGUUGGUGGGGUAGUGGCUUACCAAGGCUUUGACGGGUAGCCGGCCUGAGAGGGUGACCGGCCACAUUGGGCCUGCGAUACGGCCCAGUCUCCUACGGGAGGCAGCAGUGGGGAAUAUUGCACAAUGGGCGGAAGCCUGAUGCAGCAACGCCGCGUGCGGGAUGACGGCCUUCGGGUUGUAAACCGCUUUCGCCUGUGACGAAGCGUGAGUGACGGUAAUGGGUAAAGAAGCACCGGCUAACUACGUG
rnacentral:rRNA from 1 species